AUUGAACGCUAGCGGGAUGCUUUACACAUGCAAGUCGAACGGCAGCGCGGACUUCGGUCUGGCGGCGAGUGGCGAACGGGUGAGUAAUGUAUCGGAACGUGCCCAGUAGCGGGGGAUAACUACGCGAAAGCGUAGCUAAUACCGCAUACGCCCUACGGGGGAAAGCAGGGGAUCGUAAGACCUUGCACUAUUGGAGCGGCCGAUAUCGGAUUAGCUAGUUGGUGAGGUAACGGCUCACCAAGGCGACGAUCCGUAGCUGGUUUGAGAGGACGACCAGCCACACUGGGACUGAGACACGGCCCAGACUCCUACGGGAGGCAGCAGUGGGGAAUUUUGGACAAUGGGGGCAACCCUGAUCCAGCCAUCCCGCGUGUGCGAUGAAGGCCUUCGGGUUGUAAAGCACUUUUGGCAGGAAAGAAACGUCGCGGGCUAAUACCCCGUGGAACUGACGGUACCUGCAGAAUAAGCACCGGCUAACUACGU
rnacentral:rRNA from 1 species